rnacentral:rRNA from 1 species
UACGUAGGGUGCAAGCGUUAUCCGGAAUUAUUGGGCGUAAAGAGCUCGUAGGCGGUUUGUCGCGUCUGCUGUGAAAACUGGAGGCUCAACCUCCAGCCUGCAGUGGGUACGGGCAGACUAGAGUGCGGUAGGGGAGAUUGGAAUUCCUGGUGUAGCGGUGGAAUGCGCAGAUAUCAGGAGGAACACCGGUGGCGAAGGCGGGUCUCUGGGCCGAUAUCGACGCUGAGGAGCGAAAGCGUGGGGAGCGAACAGG